GAUGAAGAACGUAGUGAAAUGCGAUAAGUAAUGUGAAUUGCAGAAUUCAGUGAAUCAUCGAAUCUUUGAACGCACAUUGCGCCCCUUGGUAUUCCGAGGGGCAUGCCUGUUCGAGCGUCAUUAUAACCCCUCAAGCUCAGCUUGGUGUUGGGGCCUGCUGCACUGGCAGCCCUUAAAAUCAGUGGCGGCGCCAUCUGGCUCUAAGCGUAGUAAUUCUUCUCGCUAUGGAGUCCUGGUGGAUGCUUGCCAUCAACCCCCAAUUUUUCUAUGGUUGACCUCGGAUCAGGUAGGGAUACCCGCUGAACUUAAGCAUAUCAUAAGCGGAGGA
rnacentral:misc_RNA from 1 species